UACGUAGGGUGCAAGCGUUGUCCGGAAUUAUUGGGCGUAAAGAGCGCGUAGGCGGUCCGAUAAGUCGGCUGUGAAAGUCAGGGGCUCAACCCUUGAAAGCCGGCCGAUACUGUCGGACUAGAGUCCGGAAGAGGCGAGUGGAAUUCCCGGUGUAGCGGUGAAAUGCGCAGAUAUCGGGAGGAACACCAAUGGCGAAGGCAGCUCGCUGGGACGGUACUGACGCUGAGGAGCGAAAGCGUGGGGAGCGAACAGG
rnacentral:rRNA from 1 species